rnacentral:rRNA from 1 species
UACGUAGGGUGGAAGCGUUAAUCGGAAUUACUGGGCGUAAAGCGUGCGCAGGCGGUGAUGUAAGACAGUUGUGAAAUCCCCGGGCUCAACCUGGGAACUGCAUCUGUGACUGCAUCGCUGGAGUGCGGCAGAGGGGGAUGGAAUUCCGCGUGUAGCAGUGAAAUGCGUAGAUAUGCGGAGGAACACCGAUGGCGAAGGCAAUCCCCUGGGCCUGCACUGACGCUCAUGCACGAAAGCGUGGGGAGCAAACAGG